ACCCUAGGCGCAUCCUAUUCUUCUUUUCAUCCUUGUUUCACAAAUAAAAUAAAAUAAAAUAAAAAUAACUCACUCUCUCCCCUUCUCUGUUGCUUCUGCCGUCCUUCGCCUCCUUGUCACCCACCAUUCAUCAUUCAUUGAUUAGUAGUUCUAAGGUAACGGUUAGGCUGAUGAACAACCUUCCCACUACUUCGAGGCACUCUCAACUUUUGAGAAGGAUGUGACUAACCAGAUUCCCUAGUUCUAUCAACUACUUUAGUGGAUGAACUAGGUUUAUCUAUAACGUCUUUGGAAAUUCUAAUACUAAUUUACUACUUGGUUUAAUGAUUUAUGGUGAGAUUUUCCUCUAAGAAUCUGGUAUUUGUCUAUACAAAUUCCUUAUUCCUUGAGGAUCAAGGAGCAAAGCUCAUUAUAGAGCAAAUAAUGUCCAACAA